UACAAAGCUAAUCAAGACUGUCAGCUUCAAAAAACUCUCUCUGUAUUUCUCAGCAUGGCUGUGUUUAGAACAUGGUGUCAUCCAGCUACACAUAGAAACUCAAGGGAAGAUAACUACCUCUUCUCAAGAGUUCAACUUGUUGUUAAUCCUCUGUGUCCUCCUUGGCUACUAGCAUCUGAGUGGAGGAGUGGUGGAGGUGCAAGGCUUGUUUCAUGUUG